GGGCCUGGGGCCUGUUUUGUUCAAUAUCUUUAAUAAUGAUCCGGAUGGUGGGAUGGAUGCACCCUCAGCAAGCUCACGGAUGACACUAAGCUGGGGGGAGAGGUAGAUACGCUGGAGGGCAGGGCUAGGGUCCAGGGUGGUUCCAAGUAGGAACAGACAGAACAAAGUAAGGCACCCAAGAAAAUAAAAUCAAAUGCGCAGAUCUACAUCUAGUCAAACUGAAUCCAGGUAAGAUCCUCACCAGUUCCAGGAUGCUUCCUUUUGCAGACUAAUCUCCUUUUAGCCUGGGCCCAGCAAUC